UUUUAAAUAUGCAUGUUUUUAGGUGGUGAUUUGUCUCUUUGUAUACGUCAUUUCAUACACUUCAUGCAUGUUGUUGCACUAGAUCAGUUGCCUAUUUUAAUACAUGCUGUGUGUCCCAACACUUUAUGUGCUAAACUUUUUUGACAUAAACUAAAUGCAUUGUACCAAUCAUCGACUGAUAAUUAAUUUAUUCAUUCAUGCACAUCAAACAAGUAAACAUAUACGAGCGGAUUGGCUGCACUGCAGUAAUGAGUGAGUGCACUUAUUUGCUUAAUGCAAUAGUAUUUAUGUAGUCACUACCAUUAUUUUUUGCAUGCAUUUCGCGUGCAUUUGUAAUAACGAUUGUCUUAGCGUUGCACGUCCAUUCUGCACGUCUCUUUUGUACGUUGUUGUUUACGUACGUACGUGCGUUUAUUUUGCAGUGCAUUUGUCGCUAUUGUCGAAUGAUAAUGAUUGCACUCGUUUAUGCAAAUCAAAAAAGUGAACUAACAAAUGCAUUUAGCUGUUUUGCAUUGUCCAUGUACUCAUUUGCUCAAUGCAACGAUAGUAUCGUAUUCGCUACGCUUUUCUAGCGUGCAUUUCUAACUAUUCAACUUCCUCCGACGUUCUGCACAUGCUCAGUAGCGCGCGGAAAGUAUCGCUAAUCGUAGGCUCGAGCGACGCGAGAGGCAGCAGAAAGGCAGGAACGGCUGCACGAGGCGCUGCGUGCUGUUUGGAGGGCUGCCUGAAAUGAGACCAUCCUCUGCGUUUCUCAUGGACUGAGCUCUGCAGCGGGUGAAAGGAUGUGAAUCUCUCCCUUGUUCACUGUUCCUGGGAUGUGUCCAGCUCCACGGGCGUGUGAGGGAGACGCUGAUGGAUGAAAUGAUGGAGGAGUCGAGGGAACAGUCGGGGGGGAGUGGAGAGGAGGAGGAGACUGAGCCGGGUUUGUUGACUGAAAUAGUCCAGGUCGGCGUGGACGCUGAAUCAGGUGGAGAUGGGGAGAUAGCACCUGCUGAUUGGCUGGAACCACUGGAUGAGGAAUGUGGCGAGGCUGGGAAAGAAGGUGUGCAGAAUGGCAGCAGCGAGCAACAAGGCGGCAGAAGGAAAAGAGGAGGAUGGCGGAAAAGAAAAGGAGGAAGGCGGAAGGUCCUUUUGACUGAUGAUUGGAUAGACUGUUCUGAACUGGGCAAAGGCUGGAAGAAAAAAAUCAUUCAUCUGCGCAGCACUUCUGACAUACCCAAACAAACCAUGAACUACAUGAGUCCAAACGGCUUCCGCAUCAGGAGUAAAAAAAACCUUAAGAAACGUGUGAAGGUCGACGUGACUAACUUUGACUUCCAUAAAGGAAUAUUUGUGGAUGAUCUUGUCAAACCAAAGCGACAGCGGUCCAGAUCCUUACAUUCGUCGUUUUCUUUCUCCACUGAUGCCCUCCAAACCCAAGACAGUAUCACCGAGACCCCUCAGAAACCACGCCUCACCCGCAAAUCUCUUGCAGCAAGUGCAGCCGCACCUUUACCAUUAAAUGAGCUUUCUAGCAGCCCAUUAAAGCUAAGCCAUGUAUCCCCUACCACACAGCAAGCACCACAACCCAGCCUCUCACCCUCUCUACGACUGGGUGACUUCUCAACCCAAAUAGAGAACGAUUUUAUCACUCCUGAAAAAAACAAAACUGCAUUACUGUCCCGUUCCUGGCUCCAGUCCCCCCUGGCUCCUGUCAGCCCAGCUGAAACUCCAUCUGAGAAAGACCCGCCCACAUUCCUGAGUGCACUUAAAAGCUCCCCAGACAUCCAUCGGCCAUCGGACGCCAGUGCAGCGAUCAAUGGAGAGAAGCAGGAGAAUGGUUUCUCUUACAACUCUGCCUGUGAUCUGCAGCCUCUGGACUACAUUGCCCAGGAUGCACCAUACAGUGACAUUACACCCAAUCACAAUCUCAA
rnacentral:lncRNA from 1 species